UAAUACCGCAUGGUAUUANGGUCAAUCUACGGAGGUNACAGAUGGGCAUGCGUGCCAUUAGCUAGAUGGUAAUGUAACGGCUUACCAUGGCAAUGAUGGCUAGGGGUAUCUGCAGGAAUGCCCCCCACACUGGUACUGAGACACGGACCAGACUCCUACGGGAGGCAGCAGUGAUGAAUAUUGGGUCAUGGAGGCAACUCUGAACCAGCCAAGCCGCGUGAAGGAAGACUGUCCUAUGGAUUGUAAACUUCUUUUGUGGCAGAAUAAACUACCGUACUUGUACGGUAUUGCAUGUAUGCCAUGAAUAAGCAUCGGCUAACUCCGUGCCAGCAGCCGCGGUAAUACGGAGGAUGCAGGCGUAAUCCGGAUUUAUUAGGUUUAAAGGGUGUUCAGGCUGCCUGGUAAGUCAGGGGUGAAAGUCGGUCGCUCAACGAUCGAAUUGCCUUUGAAACUGUCAGGCUCGAGUAUGGAUGCGGUAGGCGGAAUGUGUAGUGUAGCGGUGAAAUGCAUAGAUAUUACACAGAACACCGAUUGCGAAGGCAGCUUACCAAACCAGCACUGACGCUGAAGCACGAAAGCGUGGGGAGCGAAC
rnacentral:rRNA from 1 species